rnacentral:rRNA from 1 species
CGGAGGGUGCAAGCGUUAUCCGGAUUCACUGGGUUUAAAGGGUGCGUAGGCGGGCAGGUAAGUCAGUGGUGAAAUCUCCGGGCUUAACCCGGAAACUGCCGUUGAUACUAUCUGUCUUGAAUAUCGUGGAGAUGAGCGGAAUAUGUCAUGUAGCGGUGAAAUGCUUAGAUAUGACAUAGAACACCGAUUGCGAAGGCAGCUCGUUACACGGUUAUUGACGCUGAGGCACGAAAGCGUGGGGAUCAAACAG